rnacentral:lncRNA from 1 species
AUCUCCUCAUGUUAAGGAAAAAUUCCAUUUAUUUUCCUGGACUGUGAGGUGAUGAGAUCUAGGAUCCCCCCCCUCCCCAUGUCUUGGAUGAGCACAAACCAAUGCUCAGACCUUCUUGUACAGUAUUUAACAGUAUCCAAAAACUUUAUUGUUCUGCUCAGUUCCUCCAGGCAAGAAACAAUACAAGGAAGGGGUUAAACAGGAACGUUCUGGGAGGCAGGGAUGGCUUUGAUGGCUGCAGCUCUGUGCUCACAGGGCUGCUGGUACCCCAACACAGCUUUCCCUGGCUCCCCCAAGCAGCAAGAACUACUUUGUUACAACAACCUGGUUGAGUUUUCAACUCAAAGAGAGUCCUUCUAAUGCCAUAAGCAAAAUCUGGAUGUAUUUCCCAACCUUGCUAUUUCUGUGAGUGUUUUACUCCUUACCUUUGCUGACAUAAUUGUUUUGGCAGCAAAGAUUUCUCACUGCACUUGCCUGCUGAAAAUACUGGGCUGAUCUGUGUUUCCUGUAUUAUCUGCAGCUGAAGCUCUCCUCCUGCAUGCCAAUCCCUGCAUUUCACCUCCCUGCUUUCCCAGGCCUACAGCAACAGCUACAGGAGCUUGUGAAGCUGUAAAGGAAAAGGCACAGGGAAAAAUCAACACCAAGUUUCAUGCUUAGUUUGCACUCCAGCUCUGCUGUGCUCGUGAUGGAGAUUCUUUUAAUGUCCUCCAGCACCUCCAGCAGAGGAACAGCAGGAAAGAAUGAAGGGGGGAUAAAACCCCAACAGUCAACGCCCAAGGGUCACACACACACUUGCUCUGUGUGAAACCACACAUACAUUUAUAUUUCUCUGGUUUAUAAAAGCUCCUCUGACCCUGGAGGAUGCCCAGGGAGCUCUGGCACACAGACUGAAGCUGCUCCUGAGGUACGUGCCGCUCUCCUCUGCAGGCUCUCAGUGCCAUCCAGCUCCUGACAGAAAAGGCAAUUGCAGCAUUACAUCCUUCCAAAUCAAGAAAGACAAGUGUGCACAAGUGGGGGGAAAUGUGUUGUGGUUCCAGCUGUGUCAUUCCCUUUCAGUGCAGGAAUCUGGAGAACACAAUUAGGUGCUCUCCAGGUAACGCUGCCUAGAUUUACCUUAAUUAGAUCAAACAGCAUCUGAUGCUCCCUCACCACAUCCACAUUGGAAAGCCAAAGGCAGAUUUCUUUAAAAAAAAAAUCUCCUUUUCAUUAAUUUUUUCGCAGAAAUAUAUAUAUUAUAUAUAUAUAUAUAUAAUUUUACUAAUACUAAACACGUACUUAAGUUACAUAUUAGCUUGUAUUUCUUUCAACUACUUCACACAAUGAAUAGAAACA